GACGAACGCUGGCGGCGUGCCUAAUACAUGCAAGUCGAACGAGAUCGAGUCUUCGGACUCACAUAUCUAGUGGCGAACGGGUGAGUAACACGUGAGAAACCUGCCCCGAAGAUGGGAACAACCACGGGAAACUGUGGCUAAUGCCCAAUACCUUCUUUUCACCGCAUGGUGAGCUGAAGAAAUGCUUUUGUGCUUCGGGAGGGUCUCGCGACCUAUCAGCUAGUUGGUGAGGUAACGGCUCACCAAGGCAUCGACGGGUAGCUGGUCUGAGAGGACGAUCAGCCACACUGGGACUGAGACACGGCCCAGACUCCUACGGGAGGCAGCAGUAGGGAAUCUUGCGCAAUGGGCGAAAGCCUGACGCAGCAACGCCGCGUGGGGGAUGAAGGCCCUCGGGUUGUAAACCCCUUUCAGCAGGGACGAAAAUGACGGUACCUGCAGAAGAAGGUCCGGCCAACUACG
rnacentral:rRNA from 1 species